GGCGAAGCCUCCAGCACAGUUGCAGGAGGGAGGGAAACAGAUGCAUCCUGCUCACUCCAGGCUGCUGACUUCGCUGCCAAACCAAGAGAUGCCUUCUCCCGAAGGAGCCUGUGUCUGCAGGGGAGCUGCUUAGACUGUUGCUGGCCACCUCCCCUGAGGAGACGGAGGACACCCACUGAUCCAGGGAUGGUUAGAACAUUUGGAAACCACCAAAAGGGAUGGCAUUUUCCAUGGAAUUUCAGCUAAGAGAUGGGGAACUGAGGCACCGCAAGAUGAAGGAUCAGAUAUUUAGAAGGCUCCUAAUGUUGCAGACAGGAGUCUAGUGGGAAUUUCAGAAGCACGUAAGCAGCUUCAACCUGUUUCGUGGCACCCCAGAUAGCUGCCCUGCCCUGGAAAGUCAUUUGACACUUUAUUGAAGGACCACCACUGAGAGCCAUCUGUAUGGGGAGAUGUCAGCAAACCAGUAAAGUGUCUGAAACCACUAUGGCUUAUUGCUAAAAGCAGCCAAGUCAGCAGGCCAUAAAGUGGCCAUGUAGCAAACUCAGCUUGACCAAGGAAGGAGGGGAGGGGGUUUUGGGUGCCACAGAAAGGGCAGCUUGACCCCGUGUCCUUCCUGAUAAGAAUUGUGUUGACAUUGUUGAAACAUACAUUUUAGAAGAGCAGGAUGUGCCUCAGGAAUGUCUAUUGGGGCCUCAAGGCUGCAAACUCUGGAAAAAUCCACACCUGGUUAAUCAAUAAUCAGAAGGAGCCUCUUGCUUGACCAUUGGAACUGCUUGCUUAACAAGUUUUCUUUAAGGGACAAGUCAUUCUUUUACUAAAUGUAAAGUAUAAAUAAGGGGGGAAAGUUUGAGGUAAUGGGACUCUUCAGGACUGGACUCUUCCUCUGGAUGCAUCUUGUGUUCCCCACUAACAGACGGGCUGCUGCUGUGCCACUGGAGAGCCACACUCAGCUUUGGUGCACUUCAAGUGGAGUGUUAUGUGCAGCCUGCCAACAAUUCCCAAGCUCCUUCAUAACUUCAAAUCAAAGCUUAUUGUAGAAAGGACCUUGCUCUGUUGCUGAGCCUGGGAGAUCCAGCAGUAAGAGAAUGAGCCUCUACAGUUUCAGCUAAAGCGGUCCAAGUGGAGAUGCCUGUGGAGUAAGGAAGAUCUCAGAAAACUGUCAUGCUCAGAGUUUUCACAAGAGUUUGAGAGUCAGCUGUCCCGAACGUGAGACCAGAUUUCCAGCCUGCAUCAACCCUUCUCUUAUUUUUUCUCACUCUGGUGCAUGCACUCUUUUGUGCAAAAGUACAUUUGUCUAGACCAUUUUGUUAAUUUACCCUUGCAAAUGGGCAUUUUUGGUUCAAAUAUGCUAAUCUGGAGAUUAAGGAAACUACCGUGCAGUCAGAGAGGGGGACUGAAUAAUCUAACAAUUUUUUUCCAUGUUCUAAUUUCUAUAAUUCAAUAUAUAUGCAAAAUUAGAGGCCACUUUUUUGAAAAAUUGGCCCUUUGUAUGCACCAUUGCAGUUAGUUUGGCAGUUUUGAACUGGAGUCAUCAGCCAUAUCUUGAAAGGAUAAAUGCGAUCUCCUGCAGCAUAAGAUGUUUGCAAUAGGGCUGUCAAGCAAUUAAAAAAAUUAAUUGCAAUUAAUCACACUGUUAAUAAUAGAAUGCCAUUUAUUUAAAUAUUUUUGGAUGUUUUCUACAUUUUCAAAUAUAUUUAUUUCAGUUACAACACAACGAGUACAGUGCUCACUCUAUAUUUAUUUUUAAUUACAAAUAUUUGUGCUGUAAAAAAACAAAAAAAGUAUUUUUAAUUCACUUCAUACAAGUACUGUAAUGCAAUCUAUUUAUCUUACAAAUGUAGAAUUAUGUACAAAAAACUGCAUUCAAAUAUAAAACAAUGUAAACUUUAGAGCCUACAAGUCCACUCAGUCCUACUUAUUGUUCAGCCAGUC